UACGUAGGGUGCAAGCGUUAAUCGGAAUUACUGGGCGUAAAGCGUGCGCAGGCGGUUAUGCAGGACAGAUGGGAAAUCCCCGGGUUCAACCUGGGAACUGCAUUUGUGACUGCAUAGCUAGAGUACGGUAGAGGGGGAUGGAAUUCCGCGUGUAGCAGUGAAAUGCGUAGAUAUGCGGAGGAACACCGAUGGCGAAGGCAAUCCCCUGGACCUGUACUGACGCUCAUGCACGAAAGCGUGGGGAGCAAACAGG
rnacentral:rRNA from 1 species